UACAGGCAUAAAAAGGUCUUGGUUGGUCAACAGGAGUGCAUUGGUCGUCCACGUCUGCCUUUUUUCUUUCUUUCUCAGGGAUACCUGAUUGAACUCCCUCCCUCUGUACCUUGCGCGGACCCUCUGUACUUCGCGAGGAAGCGCCAUGGCGCCUUCAUCGACCUCACCGCAUUGAUGUGCGGACGCAGACCACGACGGCGACGACGACGAGUAGUGCAGGUCACCUCGCGCUCACCCCCUUUUCCCAAUUUGAUCCACGAUCUCAACGUUUCCGUGCGUCUUCCUGCCACCGGUGACCGUGACGACACCGAGCCCACGGCUCAAAAUCUUUUCCCCAUUGGCCAUUGGGGGCGGGCGGCCGGCAGGCCGUUGCCAUCCUCGCAGGAGCCCUGCUGUAGCCUGUAGCCCGACAGCGACGGCGAUUUAUUUGGAACUUUUUUCCAAAAUCCGCGUCGGUAUCGUCAUCUUCGGCCACUCCUUUGGGUUAUGGGAGGCGACGUGGACAACCACCAGCGGUCUUCCACCGAUCUGCACCGAGUCAUCACCAACCCCCUCUCCUUGGUUAUAUCUACCAGAAAACAUCCUUUUGCUUUUUCACAGUUUCGCGAAUCAAGAAAGGUAGCCCCGGCCCGGCCGGCCACCUCCUCGUAGUGGUCUGGAGGAUUCCAAGUUUUGUGAUCAUAGGGAUGUGUUGGACCCAGACACCAGGAGUCUCGUUCUUGGUAGGUUCUGCAGCUUGGGGGAGGUGUUUGGUGUUCAUUCUGCCACUCAGAUUUUAAUUGAAUGUUUGUUUUGACCGGUGGAUUUGUGUUAAUGCCGGUGAAGAAAUAGUGCACCAUGAGUGAUCAGGAUAGGUUUCUGAAAUGGAACUUUACUUGUUGGAAUCAGGUUAGAAUUCCAGGGGCAAAGUCUUAGCUGUUUUACCUGGGUCGAGGACAAUCUUGCUAGCCUACGGCGGUGGGCAGCGCUUGUUUGAUGUGCCCACCACAUGUUUGACUGGGUGCCUAUGAGGCUUGAGGUUCUGGUUUCUGCAGAUUGUGACUUUAAGUGUCAUAAUGGCACACAUAUUCUUUUUUUCCCCCUUACAAUCGCCUGCCAUUUGCCAUUCUGGACGAAGUCAGCUAGCUUGUAUUCGGAAUUUUGUGCAAUCACCUGCAUGUCUGAGGCUGCCGAACUGCCGGCAGUGUUGUCCUUGGCCAGUGAGGAGGAUAAUUAUAUUGGCUGGAAUGUUCACACAUCAGUACGAUGUUUUGGAGAUGCUAUGUAGGUUAGCAUUUUGCCUUGAGUGGGCCAUACAGUGAGACAGACAUAGAUUAUACUACAAACUACAGAAACUUUUAGAAGGCUACUAUCAUUCUCAUGCCAGUUGCUCAAAUUGCUUAUUGUAGGAUAUCUUUAAAGUACAUUAAUUAGGAUGAUGACUUGCAACAACUAAAUAUUCUGAUGGAAUAUUGCACACAUUAAAAGAAUCCCAAAACUGAACUAUAAUGCUUCACUUGGUGGUGGUAUAACUCGUUGCUCGUGUCACCAAUCAGCAUCAAUUGAGAUUGUCAGGCUAUAUUAUUGUGCUAUUCUUGUGUGGAAUUGUAAGUUAUAUUUCUUACAUUUGCAUUUUUCAUUGGCAUGAUUCUAAGGAAAUGGGACACAUGAGGCAUUAUCUUUGUCUGCUACUAGAAAACCCUAUUUUUUUUAGAGCCACUCAAAAAGUAUGAAAAGGACAACUACCUGAAUUCACCCACAAUAGUGCUUGCAGGGUAAGUUUCUUUAGCUUCAUCUUUUUAAUAUAAAAACUUAUCCAGUUAUCUCUCAUUGGCUCCGAUUGCGACUUAAGAGCAGUGUGGGUUCCUUUAUUUUAACUCGCCAGAAUACCUAAGCAAUCAAGUACACAUAAUUUGGUGCUAUUGAUCGUUAUCUGCCCAGAGUUCAUCAUAUUUGAGGCCUAGUAACUGGUAUAUUUUCAGUUUCCACCUGCAUUUUUAGAACCAAGAAAAUCAAAUUUCAGCAUGUUGAUUGCUUUGUGAUCAUUGAAACCUGCACAGGCUGUUUUGCAUCAUUUUUGAAUGUUAUGGUCUGUAUCAUUACUUGUUCCGGAAGUGUAUAAGAUUAUGGGCAGUUAUUUCUAUUUUAUUGAAGCAGAGUUUCUUAAAUGGUGUGAACACUAAAAAAAUUAAUCAAGAUAUUUUUUAGUUCUGUGAGACCCUGCUUAUCUUUCAUCAUAUAUGGACUGGAGCAAAAAAUUAAUUCCCUAUCCUACCUGCCUCUUCAAAGAUACUGUGAAGGGUCAAAUGCCGCCAUUAGGUCUAAAAGCACAAAGUUCUGUUCUCACGCUGGUCUUUUCUUGCUUUUUAACAGAUCUCUUCAUCCCUAUUUAAUCAUAUUAAAUUGUUUUUUUCCUUCUGGCCACAGAUGUGCUUUUACAGUGUUUUUCAAGUAUUUCUUAUCAGUACCUAAGAAGUUUUUUUUGGUUGCGGGGAUCAGUACCUAAUAAGUUAAGACUGUAUUCUCUAGAUAAUUUCGCUUUGUCGAGGGAUCAGGGGAAAACAAGACACAUACCUGGGAUCCUUGGAUAUGCUAACAUGUGUGUUUUCUUUGUUACAGAACAAAUAACACCUUAAACCGAUAACUUAGAGCUCAGCAUUGGACAUAUCUAUCUUAUUCUUAUGCCAAUAAGGGAUUCAGAAAGUGAUAGACUGAGCUUGCAAUUCCAUAAAGGGUGUGCUAUACUAGACUAGUUGGUUAUAAAGAGUGUUCUUUAAGCAAAAAUAUCAUCCACAAAGGACCAACUGGUGCUUUUCUUUUUGGAAUGAGUAGCUACCAACUGUUGAUAACUGGCUGGCUGGUAAUCAAACUAUAUGAUUAUACAACACCAACAUUAAUGAGUCAAAUUCCACUGCCUGUUUCAUAUAUUUCUGUGAGCCAUGAUACAACAAACAUAGAAGAACUCAUCUUCAAGGAACAAUAGCAACAUAGUAUGUUCUAUUCGUCCGCUGCUGAGUUUUUGCUGGGUUGUUUUUAAGUAAAUAACACACGAUGGAGCUCGCUCAAUAGGACAGAAUUUAUUUUUAUCAAGGGAAAGGAUCUAGGGUUAGUGAAAACAAAUAAAUUAGGCCAACUUUGUCAGCAUAUUCUUAACAUAGAGAUCGGAAGGUUAAAUUAAGAAGGAAGUCCAAUUUUGGGAGGUUAGGGAAACUCUUUCAACUAAGUCUCACCGGUAACUUUUUAUUACUUAAAUGCAAGUAAAAUAAUUUGCAACUCAAGGCAGCAGAUGUUAUCGGUAACAUAAUGUGUUUCUUUUUUUUUCGAGAAAACGCAAAGCUUGUGUCUUGAUUUAUUGAUAGAAAGAAUGUAUUUACAAGCCCAAGAACAGGCCAAUACAACCGAUCACUCAAAACAAGAACACGGCCAAUGGCCACUAUACUAACAUUACAACCAACGCCACCAAACAACCCCGGGCCUAAAUGCCAAAUACACAAAAGUACAUGAUAGUGAAGAAGACCUAAAUGCCCAACAUAAUGUGUUUCUUUAGCUCUUUGUAUUGGUGUUUUCUUUUAUUUGUAAUUUUACAUGGUAUAGAUAUUCCAGUCUAUUUCAAAAGCAACGAACAUUUUUUUUAGUGUUUUUGCACAUAUAUUAGACAUCUUACUUUCUUUUUACUCCUGGAAUGUAAUAAUGUAAUUACAAUUCUUGAUCAUACCUGCAAAUAGAGCAUCAUAGUUGGUUUUGGAAAGUCCAAUGCUAAUUUUAGUAGUAUUGGCAUUGGCAUCGGUUAUUCUGUUAAAAUACUGGAUGAAAUAACAUCAGCAGUGGAAGAACUCAUAUGCAUGAGAUAAACUGUUCUCAGUGUUCAUUAAUCUGACUAGAGGCACAUGGCUUAAUCCAAACUCUUGAUUGGUCAUCUGAUUGUUUGUUUGUUUCAUAAACAAGAGCCUGGAAUAUUGUCCAGGUAUUACGUACAGUUGUCAAGUCAAAUGCUUUACAAUCAUCACUGGUGUUGCUGAUGGCACUAAUGUGGCAGGUACUAGCUCUACUUAUUUAUCAGAAUAAUUUCUAUAGAGGUCUAAUGAUAGAGGCAUUCUGGGCUUCUGGCUCACAGAUCAGCUUGUUUAUGUGUACCUCUGACCUUUAAUGUUAUCAUUGAUCUGCUUGUUUGUGUUCACUCUGACCAUUAUCGUUAUCUUUGUGGUUGAAAUGUUGAAUGUUAAGUUGCUGCACCCCCAACCCCCCUCUCUCCGUGGAAUCCUUUUCUGAAAGCAGGUGGAGUCUCUUGUGAAAAGUGUAGAAAGGAGACAUAGGUGCUUCGAUGCUGCAGUGAGGGUGACUGGAUCCAUAUACCAUUGAUUGUGGUUUAUCAAGAUUUUCAAGAUCCAAACCAUAUGGUACUUUGUUUGAUAACUGGCCCAUUCUUACAUAACCAUAUGCUUGCAUUGUUAAACACUCGCAUUUUUUCUCUUAUAUGUGUGUCUUGUAUUAGAAGAACACAAAGAAGGCGCAAGCGACCCAGCAAAACCGAACAAAAACCACAUCUAGGCUAACGAAAACCCUACAAGCUAACAAAACAACCAAAGCAGAGGCCAAACAAAAAACCAGGAAAGGAACAACUACACUACAUAUGAUUGCAAUUUUAAACAUUCGCUUUUAUGUUGUGCCUGCCUGCACGCCCCCUUUCUAGUGGAUUCGCUGGUGGAUCUAUGUUUCUGUCUGCAUGAUGUCAUUUGCGAUUACAAUCAGUUUCCUGUGCAGUGUAUAAUGGUCGUUUUCAUUCUUAACCCGGCUGAAAUUCUUUGGGUGCAAGUCUGGGUGAAUAGCAAAAGUGAUAAUGUGGAACACAGGUGCCUACCUGCGUCCGGCCGUGUCUUGUAUCCUCUCGGCGGUGAAGGAGAUGAGUAGAGAUUUCUAAUGGGUGCCAAGCGCCCAAGCCUGCAUCCCAUGACAGUCGCUUGGUCAUGUGGACCGAUAGGGUGCCUGAAUUUCUGUCUACAUGCUUACAGCAUGAUGUGACUCUACUCCCUGUUUAAUACAAGAGCUCCGUUCUAAAAAAAAGGAAAAGAAGUGAUAAUCUCGAGUUUGAUCUGCUAAAUAUCCUGCAGAAUAUCUUCUGCUCUCUGCACACCUCCGAAUGUUUGAAAGUAAUUUGUUGGUUUCGUUAAGAAAAUCUGAUCGUUUCUCUGUGUAAUUUGAACUUUUCCUUGCGACUCGUUGUAGUACAAAGCCACUCUUAUUGGAAAAACUGUAUAGAGUAGAUGACUGUUGGAUAGAUUUGUGCUGUGCACUGAAAACAGUUCAAAACGGAUUUCAUGAUUUUGUCAGUUAUGAGAUCCGCUGGGAUGCAAAUCUAAGUAAAACCAUACUGGUGCCAAAUCGUUGAAUCCGUCAAAAAGGAGAAAGAAUUAAUCCGCUGUAUGCAUAGGACCAAGUACUUUUCACUAAGUUCAGAUUUGAAGCAAAUCUAAAACAUUUGACCCAUCAAUUUUGCUAUUAACAGAAUUCUUCGCCCUGCCUGCAAUUAACAUGAUAUUCCAACCUUCAUUACGUAAAGUAUAAAGUAACACCAAAACUGAUGUGCCGCAGAACUUUUUCUCAUAUCAUUUUCACGCUCCCAUGACCGAACAGUACAGCACAAUUAGUCAUAUAUUUACAGAAUAACAUGAUCCAACUAACAUGCCUUAGUUGCACGUCAGCAUUCAGUUAUCAAAGAAUCCUUUGCCCAGAUUGUUUACAUAAUCUCUUCUUUGCGCAUUUGGUCUCCUAAACCUAGUCGUCCUUCCACAGAACAAAGGGAAAAAAGA